GAUGAACGCUGGCGGCGUGCCUAAUACAUGCAAGUCGAGCGAACAGAUGAGGAGCUUGCUCCUCUGACGUUAGCGGCGGACGGGUGAGUAACACGUGGAUAACCUACCUAUAAGACUGGGAUAACUUCGGGAAACCGGAGCUAAUACCGGAUAAUAUAUUGAACCGCAUGGUUCAAUAGUGAAAGACGGUUUUGCUGUCACUUAUAGAUGGAUCCGCGCCGCAUUAGCUAGUUGGUAAGGUAACGGCUUACCAAGGCAACGAUGCGUAGCCGACCUGAGAGGGUGGUCCGCCACACUGGAACUGAGACACGGUCCAGACUCCUUAGGGAGGCAGGAGGAGGGAAUCUUCCGGAAUGGGCGAAAGCCUGACGGAGCAACGCCGCGUGAGUGAUGAAGGUCUUCGGAUCGUAAAACUCUGUUAUUAGGGAAGAACAAAUGUGUAAGUAACUAUGCACGUCUUGACGGUACCUAAUCAGAAAGCCACGGCUAACUACGUG
rnacentral:rRNA from 1 species